ensembl:ncRNA lncRNA:CR46219 long non-coding RNA:CR46219
AUACGCCGUACACUUUUCACGUACACAAAUCGCGCGAGAUCGAGCAUUGCAUAUAGUAUAGUGUAGUAUAGUAUAUCGCAUUGACUUGGUAGACGGGCAGGCAAUAAAUUAAAUUUUCUCUCGGCUGGCGAAAAAGCCAAACGCUGAAAAACGUGGAAAUGCAGCCCUAAUCGAAGGCGAAGUGGGUUUCCCCCGGAUUCAGCGAUCUCUCCGCUUUUCACCGUUUCCCCAGCGAGGCACAAAUGAAGCGCGCCGUGUGCCACACUUUUCCACCGAAAGUCGAAAUGCGUUUCCAGUUUAUUUUCAAAAUGUUCAAUUUCAAUAAUUUUUUAAUGGCCUCAACGCACGCACGCACGUCCAGGCAACUCUAUAAGGCCCUGCUCCCUACGAUCCCCAACCCACACAACCGAUCCGUUUCGAUCCCAUCCCAUCCGAUCCGAGAUGAACUCAACCGAUCUGAACUGAGCCGUUUGGCCAAUUAGUCGAGAUGUUUGCACAAAUGCCAGACAAAUGCAGACGAGUGCCGGCGGCAUAUAAAAUUUCAAGCUCAUCGCGUCCGAUGGGCGCCAUUGUGCAGAUCAUGAUCCUAAUGGGGUUGAUCUGUUUAAAACACCGGAAACAAAAAGGGUUACAUCUUGCUCAAAAGACCUCUUUUUUAGUCAUUCACAUUAUAAUCUCUAAAUAGAAACGUAAACAAUUUGGAAAAAAUUGCUGAACAGUGCAGAUUUGUAUCUGCGAUCGGAAUGCGCCUCGAUUAUUUGUUUGUACACGGGCUUCAAAGGAGCGUGCCCAGUUUUAUAUCCCAUUGCUAGAUGCAUUCGCUUUGACAUCUCAAAGCAACAUAAACCGGCGAAUCGGGCAGGGAAAACACCUUUGUGCCGACACCUAUAAAAAUGUCCGAUCUUUACGAUCGUUUAGCCCCACCACGUCGAAUGGCAGACCGGGUUUAUAUGGUCGGGCGACUUCCACGAAUUCCACGCCGGAAAUUAUGAGGUCGGCCUUUUGAGGCGACAACAAUGUUGCCAAACAUUAAAAUAUGAAAAUUCACUUAAAAACGUAAACAACACGGACUCGUCUCCGUUCUCCGUUCUCUCUGGGCUCCCCAUUUCGACAUAAAAUCAUCCACUGAAAAUUGAAAACUGAAAAACAGAAUGGCAGCAAAAAAAAAAAAGCAAAAUCCGAGUGUCCAAGGCGGCAAACGCUUUACGAUCGAUCGUUAAAUAAAUUGGCAAAUAAAUGUAAAUGAGGCAUGGUCAGAACUGAACGGCCGAACCCGCCCCCAUCCCACGACUGCAUCCAUCAAUGGCGAUUUUGGCGGAACAAUCCGCCGGACAUUUGGGCAGGUCAGCCAACCAAAUGGAUCCUCGAACGACGCUGUGGAAAUGUGAAUUAUAACUGAAUUUGCAUAUCAUGCAAGUGUGGGCAUUCGCAUAAAUCACAGCUCUCAAUGGGUUUCUUUGAAGAAUUCAGUCAGUCAGUCAGAUGAUGAUGGAUAAAUAGAUGCCUUAUGGGGCCAAGGAUCGAUGUACUACUGACUGCUGAGCUGAUUGGGUGGAGGUGAUGGCAAGGUUUAGAUUUUGUAGAUAGAUAGUUGUGAUUAAAAGUGAAUUUUGAUUGAUUGUUGAUAAUAUUUUGUGUAAUAAACGGAAGUGAUACGU